rnacentral:rRNA from 1 species
GUGGCGAACGGGCGAGUAAUAUAUCGGAACGUGCCCUGGAGUGGGGGAUAACGUAGCGAAAGUUACGCUAAUACCGCAUACGAUCCAAGGAUGAAAGCAGGGGACCGCAAGGCCUUGUGCUCCUGGAGCGGCCGAUAUCUGAUUAGCUAGUUGGUGGGGUAAAAGCCUACCAAGGCGACGAUCAGUAGCUGGUCUGAGAGGACGACCAGCCACACUGGGACUGAGACACGGUCCAGACUCCUACGGGAGGCAGCAGUGGGGAAUUUUGGACAAUGGGGGCAACCCUGAUCCAGCAAUGCCGCGUGUGUGAAGAAGGCCUUCGGGUUGUAAAGCACUUUUGUCAGGAACGAAACGGUCUGGGCUAAUAUCCUGGGCUAAUGACGGUACCUGAAGAAUAAGCACCGGCUAACUACGUGCCAGCAGCCGCGGUAAUACGUAGGGUGCAAGCGUUAAUCGGAAUUACUGGGCGUAAAGCGUGCGCAGGCGGUUAUGUAAGACAGAUGUGAAAUGCCCGGGCUUAACCUGGGACUGCAUUUGUGACUGCAUGGCUAGAAUCUGGCAGAGGGGGGUAGAAUUCCACGUGUAGCAGUGAAAUGCGUAGAGAUGUGGAGGAACAUCGAUGGCGAAGGCAGCCCCCUGGGCUAAGAUUGACGCUCAUGCACGAAAGCGUGGGGAGCAAACAGGAUUAGAUACCCUGGUAGUCCACGCCCUAAACGAUGUCUACUAGUUGUCGGGUCUUAAUUGACUUGGUAACGCAGCUAACGCGUGAAGUAGACCGCCUGGGGAGUACGGUCGCAAGAUUAAAACUCAAAGGAAUUGACGGGGACCCGCACAAGCGGUGGAUGAUGUGGAUUAAUUCGAUGCAACGCGAAAAACCUUACCUACCCUUGACAUGGAAGGAAUCCCUGAGAGAUUGGGGAGUGCUCGAAAGAGAACCUUUACACAGGUGCUGCAUGGCUGUCGUCAGCUCGUGUCGUGAGAUGUUGGGUUAAGUCCCGCAACGAGCGCAACCCUUGUCAUUAGUUGCUACGCAAGAGCACUCUAAUGAGACUGCCGGUGACAAACCGGAGGAAGGUGGGGAUGACGUCAAGUCCUCAUGGCCCUUAUGGGUAGGGCUUCACACGUCAUACAAUGGUACAUACAAAGGGCCGUCGCUCAACGGAUAAAAGUUACUCUAGGAUAACAGGCUGAUCUUCCCCAAGAGUUCACAUCGACGGGAAGGUUUGGCACCUCGAUGUCGGCUCAUCACAUCCUGGGGCGGUAGUACGUCCCAA